rnacentral:lncRNA from 1 species
CGUUUAUUUUAGGUUUCAAUUUGGUCCCUUACGUUUUAAAAGUAUCAAUUUGGUCCCUUACGUUUAUUUUAGGUUUCAAAUUAGUCCUUUCCAUCAAUUUUGUCAUAUGUGGCAGUCAAUUUGCAUAUGUGGACUGACACGUGGCACUUGGACACGCUGACACGUGUACUGUUCAAACGGUGUUAGUGACAAAACUAACGGAAAGGACUAACUUGAAACCUAAAAUAAA